AAAAACAACCCAAAUUGGCUGUCCCUUCAGUUUGUGUUAAUGCAGACCCUAAAGUUUUUCCAACUCUUCCUUCCAAAUCCUUUUGGAGACAUUCCAUGUGCCAGCAAUGUGUCUAAAAUCCAACUGUUUGUGUGCAGGCUUGGUAUCAGAAAUGCCUUACUCAUUUUGAGUGGAAAACAUGGACUUCAUGUUAUGUGGCAUUGGAUUUGGAAACAGCAACUGCAGCCUCCUCCUCCUCUCUUGAAAAGGGCAUGGAGCUUCCUGAUGGACAGGGGAAGGAAUUCACCAUUGGCAAUGAAUGGUGCUGAUGCCCAGGAGUAUUUUGCUUGUAUAAUUACCAUGCUGAGGUUCCAGAGGAGGGCUGGAAUCCACAGGUAUCCAUGAAACCACUUAAAAUGGUAUUGUGGAAUGUGAUAUUGACUUCCAUGAGGAUCUCUGUGGGAAAAGUGUCCUCUCUGGAGGAACCACUGUGUGUAUCCUGGGAUUUGGGAUCAUAUGCAGAAGGAGAGGACAGUUUGCCUCCAAGUACUGUGAAGAUCAAGGCAGAAAAGCUGGGCAGAGGUGCUGAGCCUUGUCUAGAGCGUGACAGUGUGGCCGAGUCUCCAUCACACUGACCAGGGUGCAAAAGCACAGAGCAGUGAAAACCACCCAAAUUCCACAUCCCUCUGUGCUGGUUUAGCAGGACAUUCCAGAAGACACAGAAGAAAGAAGACAAAGAACACAAAGAAGACCAGAACUGUAACGUGGUGACAACAAACAAUGAAAGGUGCAAGCUUUGAGUGUUUGGUGGGAAACACAAAACAUCUCCUCUCUUGCGGUUCUUGCCCACACACAUUCCCAACUGUUUUCCUUGGAAUAGUGCAGAAUAUGCCUUGUGAUUCAAGACCCUUUACUCCUGUCCUGUAAUGUAAAAUCUUUUAAUUUAUUCCUGUUCUUUGCUAUUGCACUGCCUGGAGUUUGAUUGUGGUAGUUGCUCCCCUGUUGAUGUUUCAUUUCCAGCUGGUUUUAUACACAUAUAGAUAUAAAUAUGUAUGUAAAUAACAAUGUUUCCUGCAAGCCAUGUAAUUAUACCUGCAGAUCUUCUCUCUGCCAAACCUCUCCUGUUAUUGCUGCUUCCUCAGUGAGGCAGUGGGAGAUUUGUUAGGCCAGCUCUCUGUGGGUAAAUCCAUGCUGCAAUUUAGCUAUAAUU